ACACAAAGCUGAGUCUCCAGGGAAGAGAAUGAAUAAUUUUACUUUUUAAUAUGAAUGAAGGACUCUAAGGUCCUGAUCUCCUCUGAGAAAAAAAUAAAAGGAAAUACUGGGCAAAAGAGGAAACUUGGGAGUGAAUGCACCAAAUUUCUAACUAGCACAUGAAGAAUAGGAGAACAAGAUGAAGAAGAAGGCAGUCUUAGAGAUGCCAGCCUGAUAGUUGGAGCGACUCUCCGCAUGGUAAGGUGUGACUGCUACCCUCAUCAGUAGUUCUGUACUCAUCACUGAAUUCCGGAAUAGGCAAGUGAACUGCAAAGAAACUGAACAACUUUAUGGGCACAAGCUUAGGAGGAAACAAGUGAAGUUCAGGGUCAGCCAACAAAGAUGCUAUUGCCUGCCUCAAGAGCCCCUGAGUGUGGCUGUCCUGAUUAUAGGAGACAACAGGGAUGCCUGGGUGGCUCAGUGGUUGAGCAUCUGCCUUCAGCUCAGGCUGGGACCUGGAAGCAGCAGCAGCAGUAGCAGCAACAGCAGCAUUCAGAGGCAGCAGAGGCAGCAAAUCCGUGGGGCAGUGGAUGGAGCAGUGAAGAAUGCUCUGGCAG